rnacentral:rRNA from 1 species
GAUGAACGCUGGCGGCGUGCCUAAUACAUGCAAGUCGAGCGAACAGACGAGGAGCUUGCUCCUCUGACGUUAGCGGCGGACGGGUGAGUAACACGUGGAUAACCUACCUAUAAGACUGGGAUAACUUCGGGAAACCGGAGCUAAUACCGGAUAAUAUAUUGAACCGCAUGGUUCAAUAGUGAAAGACGGUUUUGCUGUCACUUAUAGAUGGAUCCGCGCCGCAUUAGCUAGUUGGUAAGGUAACGGCUUACCAAGGCGACGAUGCGUAGCCGACCUGAGAGGGUGAUCGGCCACACUGGAACUGAGACACGGUCCAGACGCCUACGGGAGGCAGCAGUAGGGAAUCUGCCGCAAUGGGCGAAAGCCUGACGGAGCAACGCCGCGGGAGUGAUGAAGGUCUUCGGAUCGUAAAACUCUGUUAUUAGGGAAGAACAAAUGUGUAAGUAACUAUGCACGUCUUGACGGUACCUAAGCAGAAAGCCACGGCUAACUACGU